rnacentral:rRNA from 1 species
GGUUAAGCGACUAAGCGUACACGGUGGAUGCCCUGGCAGUCAGAGGCGAUGAAGGACGUGCUAAUCUGCGAUAAGCGUCGGUAAGGUGAUAUGAACCGUUAUAACCGGCGAUUUCCGAAUGGGGAAACCCAGUGUGUUUCGAUACACUAUCAUUAACUGAAUCCAUAGGUUAAUGAGGCGAACCGGGGGAACUGAAACAUCUAAGUACCCCGAGGAAAAGAAAUCAACCGAGAUUCCCCCAGUAGCGGCGAGCGAACGGGGAGGAGCCCAGAGCCUGAAUCAGUGUGUGUGUUAGUGGAAGCGUCUGGAAAGGCGCGCGAUACAGGGUGACAGCCCCGUACACAAAAAUGCACAUGCUGUGAGCUCGAUGAGUAGGGCGGGACACGUGGUAUCCUGUCUGAAUAUGGGGGGACCAUCCUCCAAGGCUAAAUACUCCUGACUGACCGAUAGUGAACCAGUACCGUGAGGGAAAGGCGAAAAGAACCCCGGCGAGGGGAGUGAAAAAGAACCUGAAACCGUGUACGUACAAGCAGUGGGAGCAUGCUUAGGCGUGUGACUGCGUACCUUUUGUAUAAUGGGUCAGCGACUUAUAUUCUGUAGCAAGGUUAACCGAAUAGGGGAGCCGAAGGGAAACCGAGUCUUAACUGGGCGUUAAGUUGCAGGGUAUAGACCCGAAACCCGGUGAUCUAGCCAUGGGCAGGUUGAAGGUUGGGUAACACUAACUGGAGGACCGAACCGACUAAUGUUGAAAAAUUAGCGGAUGACUUGUGGCUGGGGGUGAAAGGCCAAUCAAACCGGGAGAUAGCUGGUUCUCCCCGAAAGCUAUUUAGGUAGCGCCUCGUGAACUCAUCUCCGGGGGUAGAGCACUGUUUCGGCAAGGGGGUCAUCCCGACUUACCAACCCGAUGCAAACUGCGAAUACCGGAGAAUGUUAUCACGGGAGACACACGGCGGGUGCUAACGUCCGUCGUGAAGAGGGAAACAACCCAGACCGCCAGCUAAGGUCCCAAAGUCAUGGUUAAGUGGGAAACGAUGUGGGAAGGCCCAGACAGCCAGGAUGUUGGCUUAGAAGCAGCCAUCAUUUAAAGAAAGCGUAAUAGCUCACUGGUCGAGUCGGCCUGCGCGGAAGAUGUAACGGGGCUAAACCAUGCACCGAAGCUGCGGCAGCGACGCUUAUG